GAUGAACGCUGACAGAAUGCUUAACGCAUGCAAGUCGACUUGAACUUCGGUUUGGGUGGCGGACGGGUGAGUAACGCGUAAAGAACUUGCCUCACAGCUAGGGACAACAUUUGGAAACGAAUGCUAAUACCUGAUAUUAUGAUUUUAGGGCAUCCUAGAAUUAUGAAAGCUAUAUGCGCUGUGAGAGAGCUUUGCGUCCCAUUAGCUAGUUGGAGAGGUAACGGCUCACCAAGGCGAGGAUGGGUAGCCGGCCUGAGAGGGUGAACGGCCACAAGGGGACUGAGACACGGCCCUUACUCCUACGGGAGGCAGCAGUGGGGAAUAUUGGACAAUGGACCAAGAGUCUGAUCCAGCAAUUCUGUGUGCACGAUGAAGUUUUUCGGAAUGUAAAGUGCUUUCAGUUGGGAAGAAAAAAAUGACGGUACCAACAGAAGAAGUGACGGCUAAAUACGUG
rnacentral:rRNA from 1 species